UUUCUAUGUCCGUCCUUUAUGUGCUCACUCUUCACCAUAGAGGAGACGUCACAGAAAAAGAUGGGACCAGAACUGCACUGGGAAUCUCACGGAAGAGUCCGUUUACGCCAUUGUCCACUACUCCAGCACCAGCUUGCUGUUCAACCACAGUGAUUAACAACCAAUCAGCAACAGUUCUAACACUGAGUAACAACCAAUCCACUGCAGAUUUAGCCAGCCCAGUUCCCACAUCAGGCACAAUAAUUAAAAAGGCCAAGUCCAGACCGAUGGACAAGGACAACCACAAUAAAAACCGUCUAAGUCACACUUCAGCACCCUUUUACUUUGCCAAGUCCAAAAAACCUACGUCUGCAGACCAGGAUGGAGUGGGAGCGACUAAUCGUCUGCCCAGGAGUCAACAGCCAGCACCACGCAGACAGCGCAGUCUAUACACUAAGGGAGGAAGGCCAGCUCCCUUUCUGACAAGUCUACAUAUUGUGGAGACAAACCAAGAAAUCACAGCACAAAGCUGUGCAACACCUGAAAGUUGCAGCUACACAGUGUCACUCACUAGGAACAGGAACUCCUCACAAAUCACUUUGCACAUGACGUCUUCAAACAGUGUGUGGGUUCGUCAAUGUGGAGCCACCAAGGGACGUUUAUGCCCCAACCACACAGAGGCAGAGGUGUACAGUGGACAGAGUACAUCAACAAAGGGCACCCAUCACCUGUGGCCAGUGCCAGUGAUGUCGUUCCAGGACGUCACCUACCACUUCCGUGUCUCCCUGUCUAGUGAAGUGAGCUGUGACCACGAAGGAGAGAGAAAAGUGACCACUUCAUACACUGACUACCAUUUUCUCAUUCAAAGCAGCUGUGUGUGAGGGGGAAGACGACGUGUCCCAGUGCCUUUUAGAUACACUACACUUCCCCUUUGUGGUUCCAUUUGUACCCUGUUGUGAUAUUAUAGGGCUUUUGCCUUAUUCUUGUACAUUAUUUUUAAGAUGAUUCAUAUGGAACAAACUUCAUCAUUUCAUCUGCCCACCCCCCCCCUUCAGUACAUAUAUGUAUAUGCAUUAAGACAUCUCUUUUUUUGCUGUGAUCAC
rnacentral:lncRNA from 1 species